UACGUAGGUGGCAAGCGUUAUCCGGAAUUAUUGGGCGUAAAGCGCGCGUAGGCGGUUUUUUAAGUCUGAUGUGAAAGCCCACGGCUCAACCGUGGAGGGUCAUUGGAAACUGGAAAACUUGAGUGCAGAAGAGGAAAGUGGAAUUCCAUGUGUAGCGGUGAAAUGCGCAGGAGAUAUGGAGGAACACCAGUGGCGAAGGCGACUUUCUGGUCUGUAACUGACGCUGAUGUGCGAAAGCGUGGGGAUCAAACAGG
rnacentral:rRNA from 1 species